AACUGACAAUUAAAAAAUACAUCUAGCAAUCUGACUUAAGUUUAUUAUUUUAACAAAUUCAUUAAUGUAGUUAAAACGUUUGCAAUUAUUAUUAGGGGAAAGCAGGAGUUGAAAACUUAUUUUCAUUUGGCCAUUUAUCAAUGGUGUGUACAUUAGAAAUUGUGCAACAGCUUGAAAUAUCAUAAAGAAGGUCAUACCUACAGGCCCCAUAUACAUAUACAUAUACACACAUACACACACACAAACGCACGUACUACACACAGCCAAUCCUUUGGAACCGUUGUGCAAUAUAACCCCGCAUAUUUUGAAUGGCUAGCUAUGUGUACUGUGUACGUGUCAAAGGAUCGCUGUACAAAGCUUGCAUUGGGAAUAGUGCACGCACAAGCUACACUAUAGCUACUGUGUGCAUUAUAAAUUCACAAUGUAGCUUUGCCUAGACAGGAGCUAGACUGAAUCUUGGUGUUUUCUCUGCAAAAUAAUGCUGAAUAUUGAGUUUUCCUGCUAAUCUACAACAGUAUGGAUAUAGACGCAACAUGACAAAUGAGUAGUUUCCAUAUCGACCUCGUUCUUUAUUAUCAUCUUCACCAAUAUACAUCGACGCCACUAUCACCAUGUCUUUGACGUCGACCUCCGUUUUCGCGUUUGAACUUUGAAGAUUGUUGCGAACUGUAAUAAUGAAUUGGAUAUUGGCAUUAUCGACGUUUGUUCUGUCUUUGAACACUAGUCUCAUCGAACUUUGAUUAAAGGUAAGAACCUCCUUUUUACCUUCUUCGAUUUGCGUUUCGUCGUUUGCAGGUCUGAUCCUAUACCGCGUUUCACCAUCGCCGAACACGGACUCCGCAUCCGAUCGACAUCGCCGACUCUUGACUUUCGUUCAUCAUUCAUUUUUGAACUGUACUAUGAUCACCGACAUCAUCUACGAUCUGCCAAGAAGGCCUAGUCACCAAUUGUUUCUUCAAAUGUCAUCUUUCGACUGAAUUCGAGUACGACAUCGUCAACGAAUCUCGCACCUCCGCUGGAAGGACAGUUUUUUAUAAUGUACUAUGUAAUUUGAAUAUGAGCGGCAGUCUUCCGCUAUAGAAAUAGACUAACCACUUUAAGAUAUUGUUGUGUGCUGAAAAUGUUUAGUGUCCUGUAUAAUGAUGUUACAAGCGGCAGUCUUCGCUAUAGAAAUAGACUUCAGUUUUCGACUGUAAAUUGUUUUAUAUAUUUUACGCGAGCUAGAUUUUAGCUUGUUUGAAUAAACGUUUUUUUAAAGUAAA